rnacentral:rRNA from 1 species
AACGAACGCUGGCGGCGUGCCUAAUACAUGCAAGUCGAGCGAAUGGAUUAAGAGCUUGCUCUUAUGAAGUUAGCGGCGGACGGGUGAGUAACACGUGGGUAACCUGCCCAUAAGACUGGGAUAACUCCGGGAAACCGGGGCUAAUACCGGAUAACAUUUUGAACCGCAUGGUUCGAAAUUGAAAGGCGGUUUCGGCUGUCACUUAUGGAUGGACCCGCGUCGCAUUAGCUAGUUGGUGAGGUAACGGCUCACCAAGGCAACGAUGCGUAGCCGACCUGGGAGGGUGAUCGGCCACACUGGGACUGAGACACGGCCCAGACUCCUACGGGAGGAAGCAGUAGGGAAUCUUCCGCAAUGGACGAAAGUCUGACGGAGCAACGCCGCGUGAGUGAUGAAGGCUUUCGGGUCGUAAAACUCUGUUGUUAGGGAAGAACAAGUGCUAGUUGAAUAAGCUGACACCUUGACGGUACCUAACCAGAAAGCCACGGCUAACUACGUGCCAGCAGCCGCAGUAA